CAGGCUCAGAUUGAACGCUGGCGGCAGGCUUAACACAUGCAAGUCGAGCGGGCGAGGUUACUUCGGUAACUGAGCUAGCGGCGGACGGGUGAGUAAUGCUUAGGAAUCUGCCUAUUAGUGGGGGACAACAUUCCGAAAGGAAUGCUAAUACCGCAUACGCCCUACGGGGGAAAGCAGGGGAUCUUCGGACCUUGCGCUAAUAGAUGAGCCUAAGUCAGAUUAGCUAGUUGGUGGGGUAAAGGCCUACCAAGGCGACGAUCUGUAGCGGGUCUGAGAGGAUGAUCCGCCACACUGGGACUGAGACACGGCCCAGACUCCUACGGGAGGCAGCAGUGGGGAAUAUUGGACAAUGGGCGAAAGCCUGAUCCAGCCAUGCCGCGUGUGUGAAGAAGGCCUUUUGGUUGUAAAGCACUUUAAGCGAGGAGGAGGCUACCGAGAUUAAUACUCUUGGAUAGUGGACGUUACUCGCAGAAUAAGCACCGGCUAACUCUGUGCCAGCAGCCGCGGUAAUACAGAGGGUGCGAGCGUUAAUCGGAUUUACUGGGCGUAAAGCGUGCGUAGGCGGCUUUUUAAGUCGGAUGUGAAAUCCCUGAGCUUAACUUAGGAAUUGCAUUCGAUACUGGGAAGCUAGAGUAUGGGAGAGGAUGGUAGAAUUCCAGGUGUAGCGGUGAAAUGCGUAGAGAUCUGGAGGAAUACCGAUGGCGAAGGCAGCCAUCUGGCCUAAUACUGACGCUGAGGUACGAAAGCAUGGGGAGCAAACAGGAUUAGAUACCCUGGUAGUCCAUGCCGUAAACGAUGUCUACUA
rnacentral:rRNA from 1 species